UCGAGCGGGGAAGGUAGCUUGCUACCUGACCUAGCGGCGGACGGGUNCCUUUUGCUUAGGAAUCUGCCUAUUAGUGGGGGACAACAUCUCNAAAGGGAUGCUAAUACCGCAUACGUCCUACGGGAGAAAGCAGGGGACCUUCGGGCCUUGCGCUAAUAGAUGAGCCUAAGUCGGAUUAGCUAGUUGGUGGGGUAAAGGCCUACCAAGGCGACGAUCUGUAGCGGGUCUGAGAGGAUGAUCCGCCACACUGGGACUGAGACACGGCCCAGACUCCUACGGGAGGCAGCAGUGGGGAAUAUUGGACAAUGGGGGGAACCCUGAUCCAGCCAUGCCGCGUGUGUGAAGAAGGCCUUUUGGUUGUAAAGCACUUUAAGCGAGGAGGAGGCUACCGAGAUUAAUACUCUUGGAUAGUGGACGUUACUCGCANAAUAAGCACCGGCUAACUCUGUGCCAGCAGCCGCGGUAAUACAGAGGGUGCAAGCGUUAAUCGGAUUUACUGGGCGUAAAGCGCGCGUAGGUGGCCAAUUAAGUCAAAUGUGAAAUCCCCGAGCUUAACUUGGGAAUUGCAUUCNAUACUGGUUGGCUAGAGUAUGGGAGAGGAUGGUAGAAUUCCAGGUGUAGCGGUGAAAUGCGUANAGAUCUGGAGGAAUACCGAUGGCGAAGGCAGCCNUCUGGCCUAAUACUGACACUGAGGUGCGAAAGCAUGGGGAGCAAACAGGAUUANAUACCCUGGGUAGUCCAUGCCGUAAACGAUNUCUACUAGCCGUUGGGGGCCUUUGAGGCUUUAGU
rnacentral:rRNA from 1 species